AUGUUUGUUCCUAAAACAGAUAACCAAUCUGAUCUCGAGGGGCCGCAUAGAAACGCUGGGCCGUGGCUGUGCUCCAUUUGCUCGCAGCAAAAUGAUACGAGCUGUAUGUCCUGUGAGGUAUGCGGCGUUCUUCGGGAUUUGUCACUGUAUUUCAAUAACUCCAAUGAACCUGAAGGUGGAGCUAAACGUAGAAACAAGCAUUCUGGUGUAUCUGUACUGGCAAGAUCUCUUUUCGCACCAUCUGGUCCAAAAUCAAAAGCCGUUGUUUUCUCCGAUGGAUUUCGAGGCAACAAAAACGCAACAGGACAUAUGCAAGCUUCCUUGGGUACUCUGCACAAGACAUACAUGACACAUAAGCAGCGCCAUAACAUAGUGCCUUUCAAGUUUGAUAUACCAUCUCCUGAUGACAUGGUCUCUACAGGCUUAAAAUCGUCCAGACAUUUGCGAAAAGCUGUUCCAUCUGUAGAUAUCCCCGGAAAGAUGGUGAUGGGUGAUGAUGAUCUUGUAGUUGAGAAGGAUACAAGUACAGACCCAAGUUCAUCAGUGAAGUUGGAUGAACUUGGUGGAAAUAGUAGCACUGUUGCCGCCAAUACUCAGAACGAAACUCUUAUUUUGGACAAUGAGCUACAACAUUUGAGUUUAGAGAGGAAGCCAAAAAACAGUAAAACCAAGAUUAAGAAGCCAGUUCCUGUUUCACAAUACAAGCCAGAACCGUGGAUGCUACAGGGCGAAGAUCAAGACAUGCCUAGACAACUAAAUCUUGCUAUUGUUGGUCACGUUGAUUCUGGCAAAUCAACAUUAUGUGGUAGGUUGCUGCAUGCCCUGGGUAGAAUUUCAAAAAAGCAAAUGCAUAAGAAUGAGAAAGAAGCGAAAGAAAAGGGAAAAGGGUCGUUUGCAUAUGCUUGGGCAAUGGACGACAGUGCUGAUGAAAGGGCACGUGGCAUUACGAUGAAUGUCGGUGUAGCAUACUUUGACACCAAAAAUUACCAAGUUGUUAUGCUCGACUCCCCUGGUCACAAGGAUUUCGUUCCUAACAUGAUAUCUGGAGUGACGCAAGCUGAUGCAGCUGUCCUAGUUGUUGAUGCCUCUCUUGGAUCAUUCGAGUCAGGCAUGGGCGUUAAUGGGGUUGGUCAGACAAAGGAGCACUCACAGCUUAUUCGAAGCUUUGGUGUCGAGAACUUGAUAGUUGCUGUCAAUAAGAUGGAUUCAGUGGAAUAUUCGGCAGAACGCUUCAAUUAUGUGAAAUCACAACUUGGCAUUUUUCUCCGAUCUUGUGGCUAUAAAGAGUCAGCGAUAACCUGGGUUCCUUUGAGUGCGAUGGAAAAUGAAAAUCUGGUGACAGCAGCUUCAGAUACUCGUCUCUCAUCAUGGUUUCACGGGACUUGCCUUCUGGAAGCAAUUGACUCGUCAGCACCACCUCCUCGUGAUGUUUCAAGGCCACUACGGCUUCCAAUUUGUGAUGUUAUUUCAUCCCAUGUGCUGGGGCAAGUGGCGGUUUGUGGUAAAGUGGUGUGUGGAGCAAUCGGAAGUGAUUCCAAGGUCCUUGUGAUGCCUUCUGGAGAGCUAGCUACAGUGAAAAUCAUCGAGCGGGACUCCUCUCGUCUCAGCUUGGCAAGAGCCGGCGACAACAUUGCGAUUGGACUGCAAGGGAUCGACCCGAUCCAUGUGAUGUCUGGUGGAGUUCUGUGCCAUCCGGAUUACCCCGUGUCGGUGGCGUCUUCCCUGGAGCUGAAGAUCCUGGUGCUAGACAUCACCGUACCUAUACUGCCCGGCCUUCAGUUUGAGCUCCAUGUGCACCACGCGAAGGUGUCGGCGUCCCUGGUGAGAAUCGUGUCACUGCUGGACCAGAAGACUGGCAAAGCCUCAGCGAAGAAGCCGCGGAUGCUCACCGCUAGACAGGCUGCCAUCAUCGAGGUACGUCGCGUUACAUGUGCGCCCUUACAGCAGAUGAGUCUGAAUGAGUGCCUGGUGAUCGUCUGUGGUGCCUGUUUUGUCCAGGUGAAGCUGGAGAGGGAGGUGUGCGUGGAGGAGUUCGCGACCCUCAAGGCCCUGGGCCGGGCGUUCCUGCGGUCGCAGGGGAGCACCGUCGCGGUUGGCGUCGUGCAGGUACAGGGGGAGCGAGCAGAGCAGGCUUCUUAG
rnacentral:rRNA from 1 species